rnacentral:rRNA from 1 species
CUUCGGGUUGUAAACCUCUUUUAGUAGGGAAGAAGCGACUGAGUUUACUCUGAGUGACGGUACCUGCAGAAAAAGCACCGGCUAACUACGUGCCAGCAGCCGCGGUAAUACGUAGGGUGCAAGCGUUGUCCGGAAUUAUUGGGCGUAAAGAGCUCGUAGGCGGUUUGUCGCGUCUGCUGUGAAAUCCCGAGGCUCAACCUCGGGCUUGCAGUGGGUACGGGCAGACUAGAGUGCGGUAGGGGAGAUUGGAAUUCCUGGUGUAGCGGUGGAAUGCGCAGAUAUCAGGAGGAACACCGAUGGCGAAGGCAGAUCUCUGGGCCGUAACUGACGCUGAGGAGCGAAAGCAUGGGGAGCGAACAGGAUUAGAUACCCUGGUAGUCCAUGCCGUAAACGUUGGGCGCUAGAUGUAGGGACCUUU